rnacentral:rRNA from 1 species
AGCAGCCGCGGUAAUUCCAGCUCCAAUAGCGUAUAUUAAAGUUGUUGCAGUUAAAAAGCUCGUAGUUGAAUUUCGGGGUUAGUAAGUUGGUCAUGCCAUUGGUAUGCACUGGCUUUACUGAUUCCUCCUUCUUGACGAACCGUGAUGUCAUUAAUUUGGUGUUGCGGGAAAUCAGGACUGUUACUUUGAAAAAAUUAGAGUGUUUAAAGCAGGCUUACGCUUGAAUACAUUAGCAUGGAAUAAUGAAAUAGGACGUUAAUCCUAUUUUGUUGGUUUCUAGGAUCGACGUAAUGAUUAAUAGGGAUAGUUGGGGGCAUUAGUAUUCAAUUGUCAGAGGUGAAAUUCUUGGAUUUAUUGAAGACUGACUACUGCGAAAGCAUUUGCCAAGGAUGUUUUCAUUAAUCAAGAACGAAAGUUAGGGGAUCGAAGACGAUCAGAUACCGUCGUAGUCUUAACCAUAAACUAUGCCGACUAGGGAUCGGAUGAUGUUAAUUUUUUAAUGACUCA